GGGCGCAUGGUGUAGUUGGUUAUCACGUUUGCUUUGCAUCCAUCUUGAAUUGAAGCUCAUGCGAAAGGUGUUGGGUUCAAUUCCCAAUGUGUGUU